rnacentral:misc_RNA from 1 species
UCCAGGUAUCAGAAUCAGCCAUAAAUAUUUCAAGAUAUUUGUUGAUAAAUUCAAUAGCCUCUGACAUGUUGCCUUGUGCCUUUGCCAAAGCCACCCUCCUUUUAUGUAUUACCUGAUCCAAUGGAUUAUCCUCUAGCAAGCUUAAGUAAGCCUUUUCUGCCUCUGCCCCUUUGCUUCAAGUAACAUGCCCUCCAGUCUGCCAACUCUUUUGCUCUCUGGAAAUCUCUUCUGCAACACAUUAAUGCAGUCCUUUGCAACAUCAAGACAUUGGCAGUCCAUAGCUGCAAUUGCCACCUGUUCAUAAAGAGUCCAUUCUUCAGGACCGAGACUGGAUCGCUUCUUGGGGUCAUUCAAGAUAGAUAAACCAUACUUCAAGACCUUAUCAGAGCGCCUAACCUUAAGCUUCCUGACGAAGCAGAGAUAGUCCCAAGCUCCUCCACCUCCAUUCUCCACCUGACCCUCCAACCUAUUCAACUGCGUCUCCUCUGUUUUGGUCACCAUAUUGGUCUUCCCUUCUUCGUUUGCGUUAAGGCUUCUGUGGCCGGUUCUCGGAUCUGU